GGCGCGUUCGUUCAGCGGUUAGGACGCUGGCCUCUCACGCCGGUAACACGGGUUCGAGUCCCGUACGCGCUACAA
rnacentral:tRNA from 1 species